AAAGUCGUAACAAGGUUUCCGUAGGUGAACCUGCGGAAGGAUCAUUCAUAAUAAGUGUUUUAUGGCACUUUAAAUCCAUAUCCACCUUGUGUGCAAUGUCAGAGCCUGACCCAUAAUCCAGCAGUGAAUUCUGAUGGAUGGUGAGAAGGGUUUCAUUAUCCACUUUAAUAGUUUUUUUUUUUUCAGUCUACAUUCUUUGAGUAAAAACGAACUCAAAUACAACUUUCAACAACGGAUCUCUUGGCUCUC
rnacentral:misc_RNA from 1 species